UCCGCUUCUCUCCUGUCCUCCAUGCCCCCCACCCGCCGCCACGACCACGCCGUUCUACACUUCUACGCAAUCCCCUCCUGAUCUCAGCCUGGGUGUGCGGCGAAUGAGCGGAAGGAAGAUGUGAAGGGGAAUAUUGGAAGUAGUAUGCGGGAGAAAAUUUUCCCUAGUGCAUGGCCGCAUGCUAAUUCGAGCAGCGGCGACCACUGCUGAAGAGUCAGCUUCCCAAUGCCAGCUAUGUUUUUCCCCCUACCGUUACCGCGCACCCCUCGAUCCGAUUCAUAUGGAUGGCCAGAGCCGCCAGGAGAUGUCGUCGCCGUUCAAUGAGUCAGAGAGCUGCACAUUCUCAACCUUCUGUCGCUGAGUACGAAUCCUCUCCUCCCCCAUUUGUGUUUAUGCUUCUUCUUUUGGUUGUUGGGAAUCCAAUCGUACAUCAUUUCGGAUCAACGGGAACACCAUGCCUCUGUCUCCGACGAAUUUAAUGCUCAGCACCACAGUCGCAGCUGCGGGAGGACGCUCUGGCACGAGCACUCUUGGUUCCACAUGGUAGGAACCCAUAACGAACGAGAAUAUUUGUGUGUAGGAUAGUGUUUGCUCUAGCUAUGUUAAUUAAACCAUUAGCUUCGGCUGAGACAUGUACCGAUGCCAAGGUCUACCGAAUUCUUCAACAAAACCUCGAGUUAGCUAGCCCAGUUAUUAGAACGUGAUUGUUUGGUUUUGAUAUAACACGCUGUUUUGCUAUACAAUUUAUAUUUUCCUGUGUGAGGUGGUGUAAGUGAGUUUGCCCAACGAGUUUUUUAGUGCUAAAGAUUCCUUCUCAGGGCUAAAUUUGGAUGCUAAUGAUGCUUUGCCGCCCAUGAAUAAUUUAGCAGUUCAACGUGCGGCUUCAGUUAUGGAGCGCAAGUGUGUGAUGCAUUUCUGCAGAUGUGAGGCACCAAAACAAGAACCUGCACCUACAAAGGUAGAUGACAAUCUGAUUAAUUAAAUCAGUUUUAGCAACCUAAUUUUCCUAUGCAGCAAAAUAUCAGUGUCAUCUUUGACCAAUGACUACAGAUGAAACCCAAAGCAAAAUAAAUCUUCUAGAAACCAUGAUUAAUCCAAAUCAUGCAAGAAGAGGGCUUCAGUUACUUCCAGCAGCAAUUCAAGGUUUGGUCGUAUUCAAUUUUGUACAUUGUUAAGAGAAAUGUUUAAUGUGUUGUCACACUCACACCUCUCUCUAUCGAUCUUCAAAGAAUCCUUCCAAGUUAUGUGUUUAACUUUGUUCUGCAAAAUCUGUAGAAUAUUUUGGUCAUUACCUUUUUUCACAUAUGUAAUAGAAAUAUUACAUAUGUAACUUAGUCGACAAGAUAUUAGCAUACUUUUGUCAUUAUGUUACUGCCACAACUUUUACCAUUUGUAUUAGGAAUAUUACAUGUGUGCAUUAGACACACACUUUUGACUUAUAUCUGAUAUUCUCAUCUUUGUACUGUUGUUGUUCUAGCUCAUUUUGAAAUCUUGGCCUGAAGUGAAAUGAUAGCAUACCUUUUAUAUGAAGUCACCGGGAAGGUAGCCUUAGAAACAACACAGUCGUUCUCCCUUUUCGAUUUAUUUAUUAAAACAUGAGGUACAUUAAAUAUUUCUUUCCUAUUAAUUUAGCCUCCUGUUUAAAAUUCUGUCUUUAUUCCUGUUAAACACAUAUAAUGAACAUUAGUCCACAUUGGAGGUUACACACUUUAACCAGAUUCCUCUUAUUCUCAUGGAUAGUGGAGUAAUUAUCCAAUGAGAAAGUAUGUUCAAUGUUCAUUGUCUUUUACUAUCUGAGCCCAUUUUGUCAUGGAAUUGGUGGCAUAUACGGUAUUUGCUCAAAUACUCUAAAUCGAUAUGUUCCUUAAGUUGAUUCAUUUUCAUUGUAUUGAUGCAGUUUGCUAUGCUCUUAAUUGCGAGCACCUUUUUGUGGCUUUGGUUUUCUAAUAUUUUUGUGUUCUCUAAGUUUUACGAGUUGUGGCCGAAGAAGAGUCUAGGGACGGUAGUCUUUGAGAAGGACAUACUCCCUGGUGGAAAAUAACAUUGGCAGAAAGCCUUCCAGUAUUCUGUUUCGGAAAUAAGCUUGCAAAGAUGAGUGCAGACUUUUGGACCUCGGGCAAUAUGUAACCCAUUUUUAUGAAAAAUUCGAUACGGUAUUUCAAAGUUCCAAAAUAUCUGAAAAAUUGUACAUCUGGGUAAUGAUUUAUUCUGCAAUUGUGCAGAAAAUCAGUGUGAAACAGCUUGUAUUCUGGGUUGUGCAAAAUGACAGAAUUGUUGAUCUAAGAUAGUGAACAGUACAACUUCUCAAA